AUUUAAAUAGUUUAAUUUAAAAACCUUGAUUUGUGGAAUCAAAAAUAUAUUUAAUAUAUUUUAAAUU
rnacentral:tRNA from 1 species